rnacentral:rRNA from 1 species
ACCCGCUGGACUUAAGCAUAUUACUAAGCGGAGGAAAAGAAAUUAACGAAGAUUGCCUCAGUAAGGGCGACUGAACCGGCAAAAGCUCAAAAUUUAAAUCGGAAAUUCACUGAAUUUCCGAAUUGUAAUCAUGGUUUCCGAAAUACGGGAGGUCACUCAACAGCAUCGAAAGGCUGGCCAAAGAGGGUGAAAGCCCCGUGCGGUGAUUUCUCGACCAAGGAAACUGGUAAAAGAGUCGUGUUGCUUGGAACUGCAGCACUAAGCGGGAGAUAUGAUUCUUCCAAAGCUAAAUAAGGAUGGGAGACCGAUAGCAAACAAGUACUGUGAAGGAAAGAUGAAAAGGACUUUGAAAAGAGAGUGAAAAGAUCUGAAAUCGUUGAGAAGUAAGCGGUUAAAGCUUAUAGUGGUUAUGAUAGUGCAAUGCGGUGCAAAAUCGCAGAGUAAUUACCAAAGACCCUAGACAAAAUCAAGUUAAUAUAGUCAAAAUUGGUCAAACUGAUUAGGACUUAAUUAACUUGAGGGACUAAUGUGAUUUUGUCAAAAAGGCUUUAACCGUCCCGUCUUGAAACACGGACCAAGGAGUCUAACACAUAUGCGAGUGUGCGAGUGUAGAAACUCAUACGCGUAAUGAAAGUAAUAGGUGCUAAUCGCAAGAUGCAGCAUCGACCGACCUGGUAUGAAAGGUUUGAGUGUGAGCAUAUCUGUUAGGACCCGAAAGAUGGUGAACUAUGCCUGAGUAGGGUGAAGUCAGGGGAAACCCUGAUGGAGGCUCGUAGCGGUGCUAACGUGCAAAUUGCUCGUCAAACUUGGGUAUAGGGGCGAAAGACUAAUCGAACCAUCUAGUAGCUGGUUCCCUCCGAAGUUUCCCUCAGGAUAGCUGGAACAAUAUCGCAGUUUUAUCAGGUAAAGCGAAUGAUUAGUGGCCUCAGGGCGGUAUUAGCCUUGACCGAUUCUCAAACUUUAAAUUGGUAAGAUAUGGUUGUUUUCUUAAUUGAACAGCUGUAAAGAAUGCGUGUUCCAAGUGGGCCAUUUUUGGUAAGCAGAACUGGCGAUGAGGGAUGAACCUAACGUCAAGUUAAGGUGCCAAACUGUACGCUCAUCAGAUACCACAAAAGGUGUUGAUUCAUCUAAACAGCAGGGCGGUGGACAUAAAAGUCGUUACCCGCCAAGGAGUGUGUCAUGACUCACCUGCCGAAUGAAUUAGCCCUGAAAAUGGAUGGCGCUCAAGCGUACGACCGAUACUUGACCAUUGCUACAAAAGUCAGUAGCAAUGAGUAGGAGGGCGUGGAUGUUGUGAGAAGCCUUGACGUGAGUCUGGGUGGAACGGCAUCUAGUGCAGAUCUUGGUGGUAGUAGCAAAUAGCCAAUUGGAAACGUUGGCGGCCGAAGUGGAGAAGGGUUCCCUGAGAACAGUAAUUGGUCAGGGGUUACUCGGUCCUAAGUCCUUGGUUAAAUCUAUAUAAAGCGCUCUAUAGCGCAGGACAAAAGGGAAUCAGGUUGAAAUUCCUGAAGCUGGGUAGGAUGCGUGGCAACACAAACUAGCUCAGAGACGUCAGCACGUGCUCUUGGAAGAGUUUUCUUUUCUUUUUAACAAGCCAAUGGCCUUGAAAUUGGAUUACCCAGAGAAAAGGCUAUAAGCUUGGCAAAGCAUCACGCUUUUCAGUGAUGUCAGGUGCGCUCGUGAUGACCCGUGAAAAUCUGAGCCAGAACUAUCCUAUCCAGGCCGUACCCAUAACCGCAUCAGGUCUUCCCAAGGUUA